UACGAAGGGGGCUAGCGUUGUUCGGAUUCAUUGGGCGUAAAGGGUGCGUAGGUGGCGUCGUAAGUCGGGUGUGAAAUUUCGGAGCUUAACUCCGAAACUGCAUUCGAUACUGCGGUGCUUGAGGACUGGAGAGGAGACUGGAAUUUACGGUGUAGCAGUGAAAUGCGUAGAGAUCGUAAGGAAGACCAGUGGCGAAGGCGGGUCUCUGGACAGUUCCUGACACUGAGGCACGAAGGCCAGGGGAGCAAACGGG
rnacentral:rRNA from 1 species